rnacentral:rRNA from 1 species
CCAUUUUGUACAAGAAUGUUAUUAAUGAAAAUUUAAUACAACUUUCAACAACGGAUCUCUUGGCUCUCGCAUCGAUGAAGAACGCAGCGAAAUGCGAUAAGUAAUGUGAAUUGCAGAAUUCAGUGAAUCAUCGAAUCUUUGAACGCACCUUGCGCUCCUUGGUAUUCCGAGGAGCAUGCCUGUUUGAGUGUCAUUAAAUUAUCAACCUCUUCAAGAGGCUUGGAUUUGGAGUGUUGCUGGCUUGUUGUUGGCUCCUCUUAAAUGAAUAAGCUUUUGUGUAGGCUUUGGUUUGAUAAUAUCUAUGCCAUCGCUGCAAUGCAAAACAACCUUGAAAUUUGACCUCAAAUCAGGUAGGACUACCCGCUGAACU